UUAAGUUCAGCGGGUAGUCCUACCUGAUUUGAGGCCAGAUCAUAAAAAAGUGAUGUCCGAGGACAGUCGAGUUAGAAAGCAGACGUCAGCCGCGAGUCCUGGCCACCCCGAGGGAUGUCCUCAGCGAAAUACUUAUUACGCCAAGUAGAACCAAGUCAAGCGACAUGUCCAGCUAAUCCUUUUGAGGUGAGCAGCGCGAG
rnacentral:misc_RNA from 1 species